UUCCGAGCUGCCACAGUUGGUGUCCUCUUCACAAUGCCAUAUUGCACUGAAGACCAACGGACCAGAUGGAGACUAUGCGGAGUUAAAGCUGUUCAACUUUGGGGCACAAACAGCUGCUGGUGCCGUUUUGAUGAUUUCCGAUCAUUUUAGCAUGAGUGCAAUGGUCGAUGACUCAACUGUGGAUUCAUGGGCAAUUUCUAAAGCUGUAUUGAAUGGAAGCGAAUUUUUCAUGGACUUGAGCG